CCAGUUCGGAUUGCAGGCUGNAACCCGCCUGUAUGAAGUUGGAAUCGCUAGUAAUCGCGGAUCAGCAUGCCGCGGUGAAUACGUUCCCGGGCCUUGUACACACCGCCCGUCACACCAUGAGAGUCGGGAACACCCGAAGUCCGUAGCCUAACCGCAAGGAGGGCGCGGCCGAAGGUGGGUUCGAUAAUUGGGGUGAAGUCGUAACAAGGUACC
rnacentral:rRNA from 1 species